GGAGGAUCCGAGCGUUAUCCGGAUUUAUUGGGUUUAAAGGGUGCGUAGGCGGGAUAGUAAGUCAGUGGUGAAAGCCCGCAGCUCAACUGCGGAACUGCCAUUGAUACUGCUAACCUUGAGUAUGUAUGAUGUGGGCGGAAUGUGCAGUGUAGCGGUGAAAUGCUUAGAUAUUGCACAGAACACCGAUUGCGAAGGCAGCUCACAAAACCAUAACUGACGCUGAGGCACGAAAGCGUGGGGAUCAAACAGGAUUAGAUACCCUGGUAGUCCACGCCUUAAACGUUGAAUACUCGAUGUGUGCGAUAUACUGUACGCGUCUAAGCGAAAGUGAUAAGUAUUCCACCUGGGGAGUACGCUCGCAAGAGUG
rnacentral:rRNA from 1 species